UACACUCCUACGGGAGGCAGCAGUGGGGAAUAUUGGACAAUGGGCGCAAGCCUGAUCCAGCCAUGCCGCGUGAGUGAUGAAGGCCCUAGGGUUGUAAAGCUCUUUCACCGGUGAAGAUAAUGACGGUAACCGGAGAAGAAGCCCCGGCUAACUUCGUGCCAGCAGCCGCGGUAAUACAAAGGGGGCUAGCGUUGUUCGGAUUUACUGGGCGUAAAGCGCACGUAGGCGGACUAUUAAGUCAGGGGUGAAAUCCCGGGGCUCAACCCCGGAACUGCCUUUGAUACUGGUAGUCUUGAGUUCGAGAGAGGUGAGUGGAAUUCCGAGUGUAGAGGUGAAAUUCGUAGAUAUUCGGAGGAACACCAGUGGCGAAGGCGGCUCACUGGCUCGAUACUGACGCUGAGGUGCGAAAGCGUGGGGAGCAAACAGGAUUAGAUACCCGAGUAGUCCCAUGAU
rnacentral:rRNA from 1 species